UACGUAGGGCGCAAGCGUUGUCCGGAAUUAUUGGGCGUAAAGAGCUCGUAGGCGGCUUGUCGCGUCGGGGUGUGAAAGCUUGGGGCUUAACCCCAAGUCUGCAUCCGAUACGGGCAGGCUAGAGGCAGGUAGGGGAGAACGGGAAUUCCCGGUGUAGCGGUGAAAUGCGCAGAUAUCGGGAGGAACACCGGUGGCGAAGGCGGUUCUCUGGGCCUGUACUGACGCUGAGGAGCGAAAGCGUGGGGAGCGAACAGG
rnacentral:rRNA from 1 species